rnacentral:ribozyme from 1 species
CCCCCACUUCUCCUUCUCCCCCUCCCUCUACCUCAUAUUGGAGUCGUGCUGAAAUUAGGCUCUCUUCACAUUUUGUCCAAGGUUUAGAGGUGGAUCAGUGGUAUCUGGGUGUUGUUGGUGCGAAACAUC